CAGAAUCAAUCCCCAUUCCUCAGUCUUCCUACCAUCCAUCUUCAUUUUCAAGCUUUCUUCCAUCAUGUAUUCCAGUACGUACACGAUCGUGUUACUACUCGCAUUUCCAUAGUCCAUCAGAGCUCGUCGGCUCGCUGUCAGCUUCUCAGCUUCCCAUCGAUAAUGUUCUGAGUAUCCGGAAUGAAUUUCUGGGUUGUCGUGUGGAGUUCAAAGAGUGGUCGUUCAAUGCCCAAAAAAGGGUCUCUCCCAAUUAGCAUCGCCCCUGCACCAUCCCCAAAUAGUGCCACGCCUACGAGAUCGUAUGGACGAUUUGCACUCGGUGGCUUGAAGCUGUAAAGAAAUUGAUGUUUAUGUUUAAAUUUCUGAGAACAAACACGUAUGAGCUUUAGGAGGUGAUUAAAAGUGUUACCCGAUAAUGGUGGUUUCAGAGGUGACAAGCAGGACUCGACUUCCUGGGUUGUUUUCAGCUAAGUCUUUAGCGACUCUAAGGCCUGCCACACCUCCCGAGCAACCCGUGAAGUAAAGCAUGACUCGUUGGGUUUGAGGGCUGAGUCCAAGGCCCCUUGCUAGGAAGAGAUCGCCACCAGGCAAGCGAGCUUCACUUGAAGAAACAUAGACUAAGUGGGUAAUGUCUAGAACUGACCUUCCCCAGUUGUUAAUGGCAGCUUGUGAGGCUUCAAUGGCCAUUUCUGUCACAGCUUUGUUGCAAAUCUCCAGUCUCUGCUUUAUGGUCGGUUGACCUUCCUUUGCUAGCUCUGGGUACUUCUUCAAGAUCUCUUCCGACAUCACCACGUAUCUAGUUUUUACUGUUGUUGUCUUGCCUGUGGAUUUACAUUAGACCAUUAGAGGAUGACAAUAAAUUCUUUUAAAACCAUCUUAGAAGUUCCAUUCAGUGUCCAAGUUCUUUCAGAUCAAUGAAGUACCAGAUACUUUUUUGUUUUA